UAUCCGUAGGUGAACCUGCGGAGGGAUCAUUACAGAGUUCAUGCCCUACCGGGUAGAUCUCCCACCCUAUGUUAUUAUUACUUUGUUGCUUUGGCGGGCCGUUAGGCUCCGGCCCGACUACCGGCCCCGGCUGGUAAGCGCCCGCCAGAGGACCCAAAACCCUGAAUAUUAGUGUCGUCUGAGUACUAUAUAAUAGUUAAAACUUUCAACAACGGAUCUCUUGGUUCUG
rnacentral:misc_RNA from 1 species